CCUACGGGGGGCACCAGUAGGGAAUCUUCGGCAAUGGACGAAAGUCUGACCGAGUAACGCCGCGUGAGUGAAGAAGGUUUUCGGGUCGUAAAACUCUGUUGUUAGAGAAGAACAAGUAGGAGAGUAACUGCUCUUACCUUGACGGUAUCUAACCAGAAAGCCACGGCUAACUACGUGCCAGCAGCCGCGGUAAUACGUAGGUGGCAAGCGUUGUCCGGAUUUAUUGGGCGUAAAGCGAGCGCAGGCGGUCUUUUAAGUCUGAUGUGAAAGCCCUCGGCUCAACCGAGGAAGGUCAUUGGAAACUGGAGGACUUGAGCGCAGAAGAGGAGAGUGGAAUUCCAUGUGUAGCGGUGAAAUGCGUAGAUAUAUGGAGGAACACCAGUGGCGAAGGCGACUCCCUGGUCUGUGACUGACGCUGAGGCUCGAAAGCGUGGGGAGCAAACAGGAUUAGAUACCCUCGUAGUC
rnacentral:rRNA from 1 species